rnacentral:rRNA from 1 species
GGACCCGUCUUGAAACACGGACCAAGGAGUACUGCAUGUGUGCUAGUCAUUGAGACUAUACAUAAAACUGAAAGGCGCAACGAAAGUGAAGGCGCGCGCUAGUCGCGCGCUCAGGGAGGAUGGAGCGUCGGUCUCGAUCGAUCUCUCGCACUCCCGAGGCGUCUCGUUUCCAAUCAGUGAAUGCAGGCGCGCUCUGAGCACAGAUGCUGGGACCCGAAAGAUGGUGAACUAUGCA